rnacentral:tRNA from 1 species
AGGGAUUUAGGUUAACACCAGACCAAAAGCCUUCAAAGCCUUUAGUAGAAGUGAAAAUCUUCUAAUCCCUG